CCUACGGGAUGCAGCAGUAGGGAAUCUUCCGCAAUGGACGAAAGUCUGACGGAGCAACGCCGCGUGAGUGAUGAAGGUUUUCGGAUCGUAAAACUCUGUUGUUAGGGAAGCGGUACCUAACCAGAAAGCCACGGCUAACUACGUGCCAGCAGCCGCGGUAAUACGUAGGUGGCAAGCGUUGUCCGGAAUUAUUGGGCGUAAAGCGCGCGCAGGCGGUCCUUUAAGUCUGAUGUGAAAGCCCACGGCUCAACCGUGGAGGGUCAUUGGAAACUGGGGGACUUGAGUGCAGGAGAGAAGAGUGGAAUUCCACGUGUAGCGGUGAAAUGCGUAGAGAUGUGGAGGAACACCAGUGGCGAAGGCGACUCUUUGGCCUGUACUGACGCUGAGGCGCGAAAGCGUGGGGAGCAAACAGGAUUAGAUACCCUGGUAGUC
rnacentral:rRNA from 1 species